AGAGUUUGAUCAUGGCUCAGGACGAACGCUGGCGGCGUGCUUAACACAUGCAAGUGGAGCGACGAACCAGGGCUUGCCCUGGGGCAGAGCCGCGAACGGGUGAGUAACACGUGAGUAAUCUGCCCUCGGCACCGGGAUAGCCCGUGGAAACGCGGAUUAAUACCGGAUGGCCCGCCGGCCCUUCGGGGCUGUCGGAAAAGGUAGCUUCGGCCUCUGGCCGAGGAGGAGCUCGCGGCCGAUUAGCUUGUUGGCGGGGUAAUGGCCCACCAAGGCGACGAUCGGUAGCUGGUCUGAGAGGGCGACCGGCCACACUGGGACUGAGACACGGCCCAGACUCCUACGGGAGGCAGCAGUGGGGAAUCUUGCCCAAUGGGCGAAAGCCUGAGGCAGCGACGCCGCGUGCGGGAAGAAGGCCUUCGGGUUGUAAACCGCUUUCAGGAGGGACGAAGCCACUCGGGUGAAUAGCCCAGAGGGUGACGGUACCUCUAGAAGAAGCCCCGGCUAACUACGUGCCAGCCGCCGCGGUAAUAC
rnacentral:rRNA from 1 species